rnacentral:rRNA from 1 species
UACGUAGGGGGCAAGCGUUGUCCGGAAUUAUUGGGCGUAAAGAGCGCGUAGGCGGUCCGGUAAGUCGGUUGUGAAAGUCGGGGGGCUCAACCCUCGGAUGCCGGUGGAUACUGUCGGACUAGAGUGCGGAAGAGGCGAGUGGAAUUCCUGGUGUAGCGGUGGAAUGCGCAGAUAUCAGGAGGAACACCGAUGGCGAAGGCAGCUCGCUGGGACGGUACUGACGCUGAGGCGCGAAAGCGUGGGGAGCGAACAGG